CCUCCUCCUCCUCUUCCUCGCCGCCGCCUCCUUCCUUGCGUGCUUCCUUCGCCUUCCGCCGCCGUCCGUAUUCUUAUACCCCCUCCUCCUCCACCGGCGCUAUUUCAGAUUCACCCACCACCACCACCACCAUCACGCCUCGGAGUAGAUACGUACGUACGCCGCUACGUUUUUAGAUUGAAGAUACGUGGGAUUUGUUUAGGUGGGCAGUUUGGUUGGUUCGUUCGUUGAUUGCAUUGGAUUAAUUGGGAAUUGGGAGAGAGAGAGGUGGUGUGCUAAGGAUAGUAGUAGUGGUGGUUGGCUGGUGCGGUUGCGGGUGAUCGAACGAUGGAGGUGUGCUGCUGCUCGACGUCGUCGGCGGUGGCCGUGCUCGGGGCCGGGGAUCUCGCUGGGAGGAGGUUCGCGGCCGCCGGGGUGGCGGCGAGGUGGGGGGCUGUGGGGAUCGGGAGGGCGGUCGUGCUGGCGCACCCGCUGCGGCCGGUCCUGCGCGCGGCGUCGC
rnacentral:lncRNA from 1 species